UACGUAGGCAGCAAGCGUUGUUCGGAAUUACUGGGCGUAAAGAGUGUGUAGGCGGUGCUCUAAGUCUGUUGUGAAAUCUCCCGGCUUAACCGGGAGGGUGCGGCGGAAACUGGAGUGCUUGAGGGUGGGAGAGGUAAGCGGAAUUCCUGGUGUAGCGGUGAAAUGCGUAGAUAUCAGGAGGAACACCUGUGGUGUAGACAGCUUACUGGACCACUUCUGACGCUGAGACACGAAGGCGUGGGUAGCAAACAGG
rnacentral:rRNA from 1 species